rnacentral:tRNA from 1 species
GCCGCGGUGGCACAACCUGGUACUGCGCAGGACUGGAAAUCCUGUUUCCUUCGGGAUAUCCCGGUUCGAAUCCGGGCCGCGGCG